rnacentral:rRNA from 1 species
AUUGAACGCUGGCGGCAGGCCUAACACAUGCAAGUCGAACGAGUGGCGGACGGGUGAGUAAUGUCUGGGAAACUGCCCGAUGGAGGGGGAUAACUACUGGAAACGGUAGCUAAUACCGCAUACCAUCGGAUGUGCCCAGAUGGGAUGAGCUAGUGGGUGGGGUAACGGCUCACCUAGGCGACGAUCCCUAGCUGGUCUGAGAGGAUGACCAGCCACAUUGGAACUGGAACACGUUCCAGACUCCUACGGGAGGCACCAGUGGGGAAUAUUGCACAAUGGGCGAAAGCCUGAUGCGGCCAGGCCGCGUGUAUGAAGAAGGCCUUCGGGUUGUAAAGUACGUUCAGCGAGGAGGCGUUACUCGCAGAAGAAGCACCGGCUAACUCCGUGCCAGCAGCCGCGGUAAUAC